CCUACGGGAGGCUGCAGUAGGGAAUCUUCCGCAAUGGACGCAAGUCUGACGGAGCAACGCCGCGUGAGUGAAGAAGGUUUUCGGAUCGUAAAACUCUGUUGUUAGAGAAGAACAAGUGCUAGAGUAACUGUUAGCGCCUUGACGGUAUCUAACCAGAAAGCCACGGCUAACUACGUGCCAGCAGCCGCGGUAAUACGUAGGUGGCAAGCGUUGUCCGGAUUUAUUGGGCGUAAAGCGAGCGCAGGCGGUUCCUUAAGUCUGAUGUGAAAGCCCCCGGCUCAACCGGGGAGGGUCAUUGGAAACUGGGGAACUUGAGUGCAGAAGAGGAGAGUGGAAUUCCAUGUGUAGCGGUGAAAUGCGUAGAUAUAUGGAGGAACACCAGUGGCGAAGGCGACUCUCUGGUCUGUAACUGACGCUGAGGCUCGAAAGCGUGGGUAGCA
rnacentral:rRNA from 1 species